ACUCCACGAAGCUGGAUUCGCUAGUAAUCGCGCAUCAGCCAUGGCGCGGUGAAUACGUUCCCGGCCUUGUACACACCGCCGUCAAGCCAUGAAAGCCGGGGGUGCCUGAAGUCCGUGACCGCGAGGGUCGGCCUAGGGUAAAACUGGUGAUUGGGGCUAAGUCGUAACAAGGUAUC
rnacentral:rRNA from 1 species